UCCUGGUUUCCCAGGCAGUCCCGUCAGAGUGCUUCCGAAGAAUAGCAACUGACAGCAAGGGUUGCGCUCGUUAGAGGACUUAACCUAACACCUCACGGCACGAGCUGACGACAGCCAUGCAGCACCUGUGCUUUUGUCUAGAUCAAAGACCUAGAAGACCGUAUUUCUACAGCUGUCAAAAGCAUGUCAAACCUAGGUAAGGUUCCUCGCGUAGUGUCGAAUUAAACCACAUGUUCCACCGCUUGUGCGGACCCCCGUCAAUUCUUUUGAGUUUUAGUCUUGCGACCGUAGUCCCCAGGCGGAUCACUUAACGCGUUAGCUGCGACACUGAUUCUGCUAAGCAAAACCAACGUCUAGUGAUCAUCGUUUACAGCGUGGACUAC
rnacentral:misc_RNA from 1 species